UAUCCAGUGUCACCUGUGCGACCAUUAAAGCCUCUCUCUCCCUGUUUACCACUGGGUCCCGCAGGUCCAGGACGACCUGGUAAACCUCUGGACCCGGGCCUGCCUGGGAACCCUCUGUCACCUAGAUGGAUUGAAAGGAGAGCCUCAUUUCAAUCAUGACAGACUAGUUUACAGAUAUAAAGCAUUGUUGAUAAAAAUGUAGACUGGGUUUCAGUGUAGACUUUUUAGUGGGGAUUUUGGGUGAUGAGCCCAAAGCCCCAAUGUGAGGCUGGUGGUGGGUGAUCUGAUGUUAGGAUCACUGUCAGGGUCUGGAGGCAGCGUGAACAAAGGCCAAUGGUUCACCUUUAUGUCCUGGCCAGCCAUCGGUCCCAGGAUCUCCUAAGGGGCCGGUGGCACCUCUUGGUCCAGCAGGGCCUGGCACACCGGGAGGGCCAGGGAAACCUUGUAGACCCUUCUGUCCAUGACCAGGAGGACCAAUAUCUCCCUUAACACCCUUCUGACUAAGGAGGAUUUCCUGGAGGUCCGGGGGGGCCCGGAGGUGCUAUCAGUUCACACGCAGUGCAGGGCAGGCCUGGGGGACCAAAGGCUCCAGGGUCCCCAAUGACUCCUGGCUCUCCUUUCCAACCAGGCCCUCCAAGUUGGCC